UACGAAGGGGGCUAGCGUUGUUCGGAUUUACUGGGCGUAAAGCGCACGUAGGCGGAUUGUUAAGUCAGGGGUGAAAUCCCGGAGCUCAACUCCGGAACUGCCUUUGAUACUGGCAAUCUUGAGGCUGGAAGAGGUUAGUGGAAUUCCCAGUGUAGAGGUGAAAUUCGUAGAUAUUGGGAAGAACACCAGUGGCGAAGGCGGCUAACUGGUCCAGCACCGACGUUCAGGCACGAAAGCGUGGGGAGCAAACAGG
rnacentral:rRNA from 1 species